GUGCUUGCUUGGCAGCAGAGACUGAAAUUGGAACAUUACAUGGAAGGUUAGCAUGAACUCUGUAAGGAUGAUGUAGAUUUUUGAAGCAUUCCAUUUUUUU
ensembl:snRNA U6 U6 spliceosomal RNA